rnacentral:rRNA from 1 species
UACGGAGGGUGCAAGCGUUGUUCGGAUUGACUGGGCGUAAAGGGCGUGUAGGCGGUUGGUCAAGUCUGGUGUGAAAGCCCGGGGUUUAACCCCGGAAGUGCGCUGGAAACUAGCCAGCUAGAGCGCGAGAGAGGAGGGUGGAAUUCCUGGUGUAGCGGUGAAAUGCGUAGAUAUCAGGAGGAACACCGGCGGCGAAGGCGGCCCUCUGGCUCGUUGCUGACGCUGAAACGCGAAAGCGUGGGGAGCAAACAGG